AUUGAACGCUGGCGGCAGGCCUAACACAUGCAAGUCGAGCGGUUGACGGGAGCUUGCUCCCUGAUUCAGCGGCGGACGGGUGAGUAAUGCCUAGGAAUCUGCCUAUUAGUGGGGGACAACGUUUCGAAAGGAACGCUAAUACCGCAUCCGUCCUACGGGAGAAAGCAGGGGACCUUCGGGCCUUGCGCUAAUACAUGAGCCUAGGUCGGAUUAGCUUGUUGGUGAGGUAAUGGCUCACCAAGGCGACGACCCGUAACAGGUCUGAGAGGAUGAGCAGUCACACUGGAACUGAGACACGGUCCAGACUCCUACGGGAGGCAGCAGUGGAGAAUAUUGGACAAUGGGCGAAAGCCUGAUCCAGCCAUGCCGCGUGUGUGAAGAAGGUCUUCGGAUUGUAAAGCACUUUAAGUUGGGAGGAAGGGUUGUAGAUUAAUACUCUGCAAUUUUGACGUUACCGACAGAAUAAGCACCGGCUAACUCUGUGCCAGCCGCCGCGGUAA
rnacentral:rRNA from 1 species